GACGAACGCUGGCGGCGUGCUUAACACAUGCAAGUCGAACGAAGUGGCGAACGGGUGAGUAAUGCGUAAUCAACCUGCCCUUCAGAGGGGGACAACAGUUGGAAACGACUGCUAAUCCCGCUUACUGAAGGACUGGAUUGCGUCUGAUUAGCUAGUUGGAGGGGUAACGGCCAACCAAGGCGAUGAUCAGUAGCCGGGCUGGGAGGAGGAACGGCCACAUCGGGGCUGGGACACGGGCCAGACUCCGACGGGAGGCAGCAGUGGGGAAUCUUCCGCAAUGGACGAAAGUCUGACGGAGCAACGGCGCGUGAGUGAUGACGGCCUUCGGGUUGUAAAGCUCUGUUAGUCGGGACGCGUUACCGGAAUAGAAAGCCACGGCUAACUACGUGCCAGCAGCCGCGGUAAUUC
rnacentral:rRNA from 1 species